rnacentral:RNase_P_RNA from 1 species
UAAGUAAACCGGGUGGCCGCUCUGACCUAAAAAUCAGGGAGGAAAGUCCGAGCUCCACCGGGCAGGGUGCUGGGUAACGCCCAGGAGGGGUGACCCUACGGAAAGUGCCACAGAAACAUACCGCUCUUUUUGUUAAGAGUAAGGGUGAAAUGGUGAGGUAAGAGCUCACCGGCAGCCAGGUGACUGGCUGGCUGGGUAAACCCCACCCGGAGCAAGACCAAAUAGGGGGCUAGAGGGACGCCCGGCCCUAACCCCGGGUUGGUCGCUUGACCUUGGUGGUAACAUCAAGGCUAGAUGGAUGGUCACCGCUCCGAAGGUUGCUUCGGAGUACAGAACUCGGCUUAUAGGUUUACUUAGCCU